CUUAGGUAUCCUGUCUUUACCCCAUGGAUUAUCAUGUUCAUCCUUACUGAAAAUCAGGAGUUAGAAGCAGAGCCCUUCCACUGGCCUCAGGAGGCAGUUGAUCAGGAUCUGAGUGAUAACAGAUGGAAACAAAUGCCACAUUCUUAUUAAACAACAUGCUUGCCUUUAAUCUACCAGAUACUAUUAGACCAUUGUCACAAAAAGUCCAGAGACAGUUAUACAAGGUCCUGGCUUAUGACAGACUGAGUCAAAUCUGAUGGUGCUGCAGGGGUGAAUGACACCAAACCAGGGCCUGCAAGUUUGCUGUGUGACCUACAGCUUAGCUGGGAGGUUAUCAGUAACCCAAAGCUACUGGGAAUGCUGACCAGCCCUGGAAAGUUUGGUCAGUAGAGCCACAUCAAGCCAUUUGGACUGAUCUAAGGACACUAAAAGCUGAAAGAUGAGUUUCAUCCUGGCUUGCACUAACAAGUAUCUGCACAAAACUGAUUAGUCAUGAUCCAUACACUUCUGGGUCCCUCUCCUUGGCUGCUUCCAUGCACAUCUAAGGAUGCUGUUGUUACAGAGAUCCAGAGCUUUUGCUGUUUCACGCCCUCCUUUUCUUUGCACUGUCAUUGUGGGGAAGGGGAGGGGCUAGCUGAUGCAAAUCUCAUUUCCUGGUGUUUAUGGGUCUGGGUGUCUCUACAACCUAUUUUUAAAGAUGCAGGAGGAGAAUAAAUAUGGAGAGCUGUGUAAAUAACAGUCAAUUUCUGGAACUCUGGAACACCCAGACUUCCACUUUUUUUUUUUUUUUUGGACAGUUGUCUGGUG